rnacentral:lncRNA from 1 species
GGCACGCGGAGGCCGGGCCAUGCGUGCGGGCCGGUGUGCCGCGGUGCUGCUGCUGCUGCUGCUGAGCGGCCCCGGGCGGGCGAUCGGCUCCGAGGACAUCGUGGUAGGCUGCGGGGGUUUCGUGAAGUCGGACGUGGAGAUCAACUACUCGCUCAUCGAGGGAUGUGGCCAGCCGGUCCUUGGAAGACACUUUGAAACAAGCUUGCUUAAGUUGGACAUGGAGAAAGGACGUCACUGCUCCCAGAGCUCAAACAGCAUGUGACAGUUUACCAGUAUAGCGUAUUGUAUAACAUAUAAAGUUGUACACCAAGCAUGGGACUUUGAAAUACCAGACGGACUGUGCUCCUAACAACGGCUACUUUAUGAUCCCCUUGUACGAUAAGGGGGAUUUCAUCCUGAAGAUUGAACCUCCCCUGGG